AUGUAAAGAUGGCUCAAGUCAAAAAAAUUACAUUUGAUGCAGGCGGACAAUGAAGCUUUAGGAUACAAUCCUGUCUAAUCAAUCUAUUUUGAAUUGCCUGUGAAAGACAUGUUUCAGAUUGUACAGUUUUGCACACAGAGGAUGUGAUCUGAUCUUUUAUGCCUCCUCCUCUAGUUAAGCUAGGUUUUCACACCGACAGCAGAGCUAUUGUGUGCAUGACAUUUAGUGCUGGAAAUGGAUGCUGUGUCUUGGCAAUGAAAGGAAAAUCUGAGCACAAGCAAUGAAAAGAUAUCUUCACAGUGUUCCUUGGUCUCUUGUUAGUUAUUCAAUGUAGAGCAGUUCAGCACAGAGGAAACACACUGAGUGAAUGUCAGUGUUCUCAGCUCUUACUGAAAAAAAAAGUAAAAAAAGACAAAACUGAUCUAAAACUGAAUAUGAACACUGAGUCUGCCAGGCCCCAGAUUUUCAGUGCAUACCAAUUAAAAACUUUCUGACAGCAAAAGAAGUCCCAGAAACCCAAGUGGGCUCUAUUUGGGAAACAUACAGUCUCCAUCCAAGAGAGCAAAUUGGAUGCCUGUUUUCAGGUUGUAUGGAAAAGAAAAAUUAACUGCUUUGAGUGAUUUGUAUUUAGAUGCAAAGUUGUAGUUUGCAGAGGAAGGCACAGCCUACAGUCAAGAAAGCAGUGUCAUCCCAACUAGAAAUUCCUCAACUUUUUGUAACCUCAUUGAGAGCAGUGUCUGCAGUGUAAGUUUGAGUAGAUCCCAAGCAGUCAACACAGUCAUCACCUGCACAGUGCGGGUGCAGCUCUAAGGUAUUUACAUUCAUCAGUGAGGCUUACCUCUUGCCCCAGACUGUGGAAUAUGGCUUUGGAAACUAUAUGGUUUUGUUUUUAUUUUUAUCAUUUUGCCCAUAUAGAAACUUGGACAAGUAACUAAGGUAUUAAGGGACAGUUGAACAAUAACUGUAUUUUUUGUGAAUGUUAAAUGCAAGAAUAAUUAUCAAUUUCUAUAUUUUCAGUUCUUUUGUACUACAAGACACAGAAUUUUAUCCAAGCUUUUGGGCUUCUUUUAUGCUAAAAUGUCUCAGUCCCUAAAAGUUGUGUGUCCUACAAACACAGAACUAGAGAAAUUCUGAUACCAGUAACAACGAGGUCAAAGGCAUUGAAUUUGUUAGGCAUGCCUUAUGCUACAUAAGAGGGUGAAACACUCAGUACUCUUUCUUAAUCCGUCCUCAGAAAUAAUUCUUAUCCAAGUUCUCAAAAAGUUGUACAUGGAUUUGAUUUUGGGAGCGUGAGCAAGACACACAAGCAAGCACCUGAGACAGCCCAGAGCAGCAGCCCUUGGUGUCUAGGAUCAUGUCUGAUGUAGAAGAAUGGAAGAUGAAAAAGAGUUCAUCAGGGAUUUAACCAAUUGCCUGGUUGUGUGUGGCUAAAAUAAAUCCUUCCUGACACAAGAAUAUGACCAAGAUAUGACUAGUUAAUUAUCAGUAAAUUAAGUUUGUGGUCCAACCUAUAUACUGUAUGAAAGUGGCUAAGGUGCAAGCAGCCCUGCUUUUCUCAUGGGCUGUUAACAAAAGGAGUGAACAGGGAAAUUUAAGUUCACAGAGAGCAAGACUACAAACAAGAUUGUAGGUAAUUUUCUCCUCUUUUUUCUCUCCUUAUAGUUCUUGUUUUACAAAAUGUGGCAUCCCAACCUACAGGACUAACCAGGAUAUUUUUUCUAGACAUGAUGUAUCAAAUACCUGGAAUAAAAUAAAUGACAUUGAGUGUGACCAAUCAUCCAGUAAUUCUUAUUAGACUGAGCAGUUAAUACAUUUCCUACGUGACUUACUAUUUCACCAGUUUUAAUAGCACUUACAGACCUCACCACAAAAGAAAAAAAUAUUAUCACCUCUCUCUUUAUCAGUGUCCUCUCUAAAGAGACAGCCCCUUCCCAGCUGAAGAACUGUGCACCAACUCUCAAAUGCAAUUCCAAGACCACAUCCAAAAUGCUGUAUGUGUGCCUGGCUCCUUUGUGCAGCCUGGCACUGUGAGUGGACCAGAGCCAGCUCCUGUCUCUGCCUGCCACAGACUCCAUCAGCAUCUGACAAGUGCAUAGGAGUCCACAGCUCUUUUUCUUGAAAUGGUUUUAUAGAUAACCAUCUGAUGACGUACAGAAUAUAAAUGAGCUGUAGAGCAAAAGUUGUUUAAAUCUAACCUACACUACUCGUAAAAGUGUGUAACAAAUUGGAUUUCUAAUCUAGACGUUCUACUUCUUUCAAGACAGAGGCCAAAUAAAAUUAAAGAAAUUAGCCAGAGCACAAAAUGGUUCUUGUAGUCUUUCUACCCUUCACUGUGUAAUGAGGAUGACACUCUUCUCAAGGAAAAGUAUUUUGUAAUGAUCGUUUGUAUGUCAUCCUUCAUGCAACUGAGUUGAAAGGUGCUGCCUAAAAGACCUGCCAAGCGUUUAUGCCCUAUAAUUUCCUUAUUUUUUUCAUACCUAUGUAUCUAAAAAUGGAGAAUGUAACCAGUCAACUAAGGUGACGCUCAAAGUUUUGCACUUUCUGCAGUACCAUACCUUCUAAAUAUUAAUUCCAGCAUCUGUAAUUCGUCAUUACAUUUUUACUAAAUCAAUUCUAGAAGUCACUGAAUAGUGUAUUUACUAUACAAUGCAAUUUUAAAACAUGCACAAAAAUAUUACUUUACACAAAUGUUUCUGUGAGAGAGUUAAGCUGUAGCAAUUUAGUGUCACAGCAUUAGAGUGUGAGGCCCUUGGCAAGUUUUUAUACUGGAUGAGCAAUAAAAUAAGGUUAUCUGGAAGAAGCAGCCGAGGAUAGGUAAAGUAAAAUAUUUAAAUAAGCCCAAAUCUAAUCAAAUUGCUUGUUUCAUUAAAUAUGCUUGUAUGAGUACUAAAAAACGCAAAGGAUGCACAUGAAUGUAAACACAGACAAAUGCAUUUACAAAUCAGGUUCCAGGUCACUGAACAAAAGAUGUUGCCAUUGCAUGUAGCCACUGGCCUCUGAAGAGUGAUGUAUAUAAUGGUAGCCUCAUUUCCAAUAGAGAACUGACAUUAUUUUGAAAGAUCCAUCGCAUCACAGGACCUUACAUCAAUAUUGACAUGUCUGUAUGGUAACAACUGCUUAAUGCAUAACAGAUUCCAGACUUGAUGGGUUUUUACCCCUAGAACUCUCCAAAAAGAGAAAAGGAAUAUUAAUGGAAAGCCACUGGAAACUGUUAUUUUGGGCAGUGCACUUCUAUUCACUUAGCUAUCUGUCAAGUGCAGCAUGAAUAGGCAACUACAGUGUAGGUCCUAGAGAUACUACAGAGAGGAAAGAGAUCCAUCAGAGAAAAUUACAUCAGGUGAUGCAAAGCAUAAGCGAUAGAGCCAGCAGAGCCUAGUUUGUCUUCUUUUGUGCUAUUAGAAAGCCAUUUGAUGUAAACCAGCUGUUUUGUUAUGUUCUUCACAUUAUACCCAGCCAUGCCACCAGAACAUGCAGGCAAGUACCAUGUCUGAGUGUUUUAUGGCUUUCUGUUUUCAGUGAAUUUCGUGUACUAUUUAGAUUGACAUUCAUACAAUUAAACAAAGAACCAACAUCAAGAAAUCUCUUUCUCUCAGACGUUUACAUGAAAUGUAAACUUAUUUACACAAACAGCAUUGCCAGCAUAGUUUUAAGUCUAAGAAAAUAAUAUUAUUUUUAAAAAUGUGUCUGCCCAUUUCACAGUCUGAAUACGGAUUUCACAAAGCUUGAAUGCAUCUCCAAUGACACACCACUCCUAGCUGUUCAGAAAUCUGUCAGAUAAGUUCUCUUGGCUUGCUUUACCAGAAGAAUCACUGCAUAUAUCCCAGCUCAACAAAUCAGUGUGUAAUUCAUGACAGGUUAUCAAGGAAGUGAUAGAAAGCAUUGUAUGCACAGCACUAGACUAAAUUUAGACAAGAGAGGUACAAAUAUCACACUCUCAUUACUAAAGUGGAGUUACUAGUGCCCUUAUUAGCAUCUAGUCACUGGGAAAAUAAUGAGGUUUUUUUCCUGGGAGGAAUAAAUCAAACAACAUUUAGAUUUGAGCUCAUUCUCAGGCACAUCCCUGGGUCUCCAAUCAGCUGACUUGUUCCCUUGUGUCCUGAAAAGCCCCACCAAAGUCCCUGGCCCCAGAGCUCCCUCAAGACUGCCUCCCUGGGCUCACACCUCAGUGGGCAGUCGCCUCCUGUCCUGCUUGAGGACCCCAAGUAGCUGGGGUGCUCUAGCAGUGCACCAGGCAGCAGGCAGUGAACCGAACCAUGUGUGAAGUCCCUCCUGAGCCAAUCUGCCUCUCUGCAUGCUUUUUUUGCCAAACUUGCAAGCAAAAUGGACGUACUGCUGCAGUAAGCCUCGAUGCCAGUGCACCAAGCAUUUUUUUUUUUUUUUGCCUGAAAGUCCUGCCAGCAAACAUGCAGGCACUGAUCCUGCCAGGUGGCAGAGAGCCACUUCGAAGGAGAAAGGUGUCCAGCCAAAAGAGGUACAACUUUUACCCUCGGAGAGAGCAUUAGGCUUUCUGAAGGGAGACAAAAUCUCCAUGUGCCAGGAAGUGCCUAUGAACACUGUCCUCUCCUCCAGAGACAGGACAGCUACAUGUCAUCUUUCGAGCCAGUCUGGCCCAAGAAUUGCUUAUCACAAUAAAUUUUCCUGGGAUGAAGGGCAUUUCUUAUUGCUUUUUGAAUUAAACACUAGGAAGAAGAAGCACAGCUGGAAAGAGACAUCUGCACACAGACUAAUGGUAAGAUUAGAGAGCAAAUGGAAAACCCUCAAAGAUAAAUCUUGCCUCUGUAGCAAGAUAUUAAAACAUACAUAGAGAAGAGAUGUGGUACAAACAUGCUUAUGAUUAUUUUUUCUAGGGCACUCGCAAAAGCUGUUCUAUUUGGCAAUGAAUUUAACAGUCACUUGUGGUGUUCAACUCUACCUUUAGAUAACACUUCCAAAUUAAUUAGCUAUAUCAUUUUAUCUGUCUGCUUCAUGGUGCUUCUGCAGGAAAUACGAUCAGAGGUAUAUGCACCUCCCAUACUUUCACACUGUAAAAACAUUAGAACAGAAACAGGAAACCCGACUCCUUUUAAUUUUGCACAGCCUAAUGCAUCUCUCAAAAUAAGAGCACUGAACAAAACCUUCCUGUCAUUUUAUCUUUUGCUUCCAUUGCCAGAUUCAGAGCCCUUUAGGGGCACAGAUCAAUGAGAAGGCUCCCAGCUGCAGAAUGUGCACUGGCUCCAGCAGCAGACAAAGUCUGCAGUCUGCUAAACACCGGUUUAAAUGUUUCACUUGAUCACACUCAGCUCCUUCAGAAAAUGGAUCACCUGUACUGAAAAUCUUCCACUCCUGCAGCCUUUGCUUCCUCAGCAACACAGAAGAAAGGAAACAAUUUCAUUCAGAGGCUCAUCAAAGACGGUACAUUUAAGACUGGAUGUUAGAAGAGGAUAAAACAGUGACACAGAAGGCCCCAUGCCUAUGCAACAACAUCUUGAGGCACUGCUGUAUCAGGUAAUGCUACCUGCUCCAGUUUGGCUGUGGGCAAUAAGGCAACUGCAUAGAAGAGAGUUAGAACUGAUCAGUCGGCUUUCCUGAAUGUCAAAGGAAGAGUAGCAUUACAUCUCAUGAGAAACAGUCUGGUCCAGUGCAGAGAGGGUUUUAUUCAAUGUCCUUAUUCUUAUUCAUAGCAUGCAUUUUAUGCAUAGGGCAGUGUCUCUAGCCACUCUUUGAACACUGUUUCUACUGAUUUGCAUUGCUGUAAUGUAGGAAAUUGUGUCAAGCUGCAGGAUGUUCCCUGCAGACUGAUAAUGGGAGAGCAGCAAAUGCUUGUUCAUAAGUAAGAUGAAGGAUAUUAACUCAAAACAGUCAAUAAAUCCUUAGGAAAUGUCCUGACCUCUGUUGUUUAUUGAUAUUAAAAAUGGAAAAAAAUCCCGUGCAUUUUUUCUGUAUGACAUAGCCACCACUGGUAUACAAAAUAUAUAUUAGCAAGUCCUUUGGCUCUCCCUCAGCACUAUACUCAUCAUAAUUUGUUAUUUGUUAUUUUGAGGAAAAGAUGUGCAUAUGUGCUGGGAGGACUGGGGAAAGAAAAUCAUUAGUUCUUGAAAACUGUACUCAGAGAUUGAGGUUCAGUUUUUUUCAUUUUCUGAAAAGUCUUCACAUCUGCAUAGCAUCAGUUGCUUAAUUUUUACUGUCAUUUCAAACUUUAGACACCUGUUCUCUGAGCCUUUUACUUUAUCCUUCCCCUGAGGAAACUUCUUUUAUCUCAAAGGAUUCACCAUAAUACAGCUGUAUGGUAUUUGUGUGACGUACACAUGUGCACAGGAGGAAAUGAGAGCAGAAAUACAUCAUCAACAUUUGAAAAAUAUGUUUACUGGACUCAUAACCAGAAAGCAGCUAUGAAUGUAUGUGGUAAUGGGCAAAACUAGACCUUUGCUAUCAGAGGGGUUUAAAAAGGGGAAUUACAUAAAAGGCAGGUAAUUAUAUCCACUUAUUACUUACAGCAUUUACUGAGAUCUUUGCCUUGCAAACACUCGUCCCCUGUGCAUUUCACCUCAGUAUACAUUUCUCCUAUCAAUAUCCUUUAUCGACACUUUAUUUACACGCUUUUAAGAACUUCUCAGAAAAGGCUUUGGCUUGUGUGAGGGCUACUAAGAUUUCAGUACCUUAUAUCCUUGUUCCUCACAAGACAUCUCUGCACAAACUAUUCCAAGGAACGGUUAUGGGGUAGCACCACUCUGUUGCUCAUAAAUCUAAGGAUAUCUUUUGGAAAAAUUAAACUAUGAAGACUCUAAGCAGUACAAACUAAUUAAACAAGGCAGAAGAAUGUUUUAACAAAUGCCUUCCAGCCACUCAGCCCAUCUAUACUCUAAAGAUAAUGCUAUAAUAUUUCCAUCAGAGUCAGCAGUAGAUGCAAUCAUCUUCAAAUACAAUCCUCUGCCUCCUAGUAGACUGUUGAAAAGGAGAUGGAGGCAUAACCAGUGACUGACUUGACUGAGAGGAUGAUGAAGGAAGGCUCUGCAUAGUCCAGCCCCAGUUUAGGUAAUGGCGAUGCACAUUGGAAAAUAUCUUCUCUUUAAAAACUUUGGUAGCAACAUUUUUAGAUUCAAAACAAAUGAUAUAACUAUUUUAUUAGAUCAACUUUAGUUACAGUGCCAGGAAGAACUGAUGAAUUUAACAGACCUGGUACUGUCAUUUAGAGGGGGGCCUAAAUUGCAAUAUAUGACAUGCUUUCUGUCUUUUUCUUUAAUCCUCUUUUCUGCCCUCUCAACACUGCUCCCAAAAGCUAAGUAAUUCACUGACAAUGAAACUUGACUUUCUGCAUAGUAUUUCCUGGACAUUCCUAAGGGAUGGAAAUCGGAAGUAAAAAAUUAUUGAUAUCUCCCUCUGUCGAGGCCUUGCAGAAGACAAGACCACCUUUGCUGCACAAUUCCUUGUGAUUUCCUUUAACAGUUGCUAUCCUAUGUGAAGAAGCUCCCAAAAGAUGGAAAGUGAUGCCCAUCAGCCCUGCCACUGCCAUUAAUAUCCACAUAAUUCUCUUUCUCUCCUUUGCAGAAGUCCACUGUUUUUGCCAUGCCUUCUAUACACUGACAAGCAGGCCAAGAAAUGCACCAGCGUGGAGAAACUGUUGACUUGCCUCUUCAAAUCUACAUUCUCUGUUUUUUUGGGGUUUCUUUGCAUGAGGGAUCCUUUCUGCCAUUAUUACUCCAUUUAUGAGCCUCUCAAGGAAGGCUAGGAAAGCACUGGGUGCUAAAAUAUCCUAUCUACUGCCAGUUUAUAUACUGGCAGUAUAUAAGUAUAUAAGUAUACUUAUACUGGUUGCCUAAUCUGGGUUGCUCAUUAAGAUCACAGAUUUCAUUAUACCUGAGAAGUUUCUGGGAGUCAACUUUACCUACCUCCAGUGAUUGCAGAAAAAGGCUUUAUGAACUCCCAAGUGAAGUGCUUUACUUAAGCAGACCAAACAGCUUUCCAGUCCUAUCAGUUCCAGACAUGGAGCAGCAGCCUAUUUUGCAGAUAGGCUUCUUUGUACUGUGGAUCUUCUGAGAAUGACUGAAUCUCACUGAGCAGCCACCUUAUGGUGACUUGUGCAGCUUAACAGCUCACCUUUCAUAGGCACUAUCCGCAGAAUUGACUUUCCUCAUUCUUUAUUUAAGAAUCGUUUUUUUUUCUUUCUGUGUAUUACAUAACACAUGUGACUUUCUGAACAGACCAGCUCCUCCUUCUACGCACCAUCUUGCUCAGAACCACAAACUCUCUAGACUUUGUUUUCCUGACACUUCUGGCCAGUGCUCUUGACUUCCUCCAGUAAAAUGCAAUCCUCAUCAUUAUCAUGCAUGUAAAGGUCUAUAUUCUGAAUGCUGGAUACAUUUUGAAUAUUUUGAAUAUUUUCCUGAGACCAUCAAAGACUCAGUAUUGAUUAUCUCUGCCUGGUAAUACUUCCUUCUUAGUCCUCAUUACUUUGAAUACGUCUCUCAGCUUGAAUAUCUAAAGAUAAUUCUCCAAUUUCAAAGUUUCUGACAGGUUGGUUUAUUUUCAGUUUAGAUGUUUGCUCAAGUUUUCUGCAAUAUUUUUAGGGGUUUCCUCGCUCAUUAUGCAUAUACCUCUUCAGCAUCCCACUGCCUUUUCACAGGCCUGGAUAUCUUCUAAUAUCAAUACAUAGACAUUUCUUGCAAACUGCUCUCCAGACCCCUGCCCUCAUAAUGGAACCAUGUGAUUUCCUGACAAUGAGAGGAUUUCACAUAUAUUAAGUACGUGAUGGACACAGAAUAGCCAGCCCCUGAGAUGCCCUAAUACCUUCUGAAAAUCUUUAAAAAGAGAAUCUGCAUGUGGCAGUCGCCUGGGUUUAGGAGAACACACUGCUUAUCAAAUCCAAAUUUUGUUAACUUACAGAAAAAUUAAUAAUCGAAAAACAAAACUCAUAGGCAUUAGACAAGAAAGGAAUCGAUAUUUUUUUCUCUAUAUAAUGUUACUCUGUAUAAAAAAUUUGCAGAAGCAAAGUUCAGAACAUGCAUGAGUUUUAUGAAAGGUACAACAAAAAAUCUAAUCUUAACUUACACACUAUCAUUAAAUAAACAUGCUAUGAAUUAGCUGAGCACUGGGCAGACAGACAAGAACAGAAUCGUAUGGCUAACCAAAUGCAUUAUUUAUCAACUAGUAGAGCUUCUGUAAUACAACUCUGCACGUUGACUUAUUUAUGAAGUGCAGUAAGAAAGACACUGAACUAGUGUAUGAGCAUAAUAUGGUUUUAUAUUCUGCUAAUAUGCAAACUAAAAAUGAAACUAACAAAUAUGAGCCAAAACGAGGCCAUAAUGUUCUAUCCACACUUUGAGAAAUAUUAACGCAAAUAUGUCAAAACAAAUGAAGGCAGGCACUUACAAUAACUGUGAAAGAUGACACCAAGCUUCUGGUUUCUCAGGUCACCAAAGAGCUUAUGCAUUACAGGCAGCAGGACUGAGAGCUUCCCUUUACGUGAAACUCAUCCUCCUCCUAAGCACUGUUGGCAAACCAUUCCCACUAUUGCCAGGCUUGGCAGAGAUUUGGGUUGGCACUUCUAAGACUAAACUACAGCAAUCCUUUAAAUUAAGAUUUGUCACGCAACACUGGGAAGGUGACUCAGAAUGCAAAAUCCUCUUCUCCACACUUCUCUGGCCUUUAGACCCUGCUGGCAUUGCCAGUGGUGAUGCCCAUCAGUGCCUAUUCUUACUGUAGUCUCUCUGACAGUAACCCUUUUGCAGAAUCACAGGAGGCAAUGGAGACACACUAGGAUACCCUCUCUCUUCUUUAAAUCAGAGUCAGAGUGCUGGUACAGCAUCAGUAUCUCCUGGAGAACAGCUCUCUGGAUUCCCACUGUCUGGAGUUGAAUUUCUAAUCCCGUAACUGAAGUACCUAAGGUUGCCUUGCACAGUUCACUGACAUGCAGAGCAAUGCCUAAGGGCUAUACUUUUCUCUCACUUUAACUAAAAACUGGAAAUUAGUUCCUAUUACUGACAUCGCCUCCAUAAGACUCCGGAUCCUGUGGUUCUUCGUAUUAACUACGGGAAUCUUUCUGAGCCUUCUUAUGCCAAUGCACGUGCAGUUACUGAUGUUUUAAGUUGGUGUAACUGUUUAGGAUAGUAUUCUAGUUUGCUUAACUUUAGGCAGAAUUAAUUUUUAAAACGACAAUGCCAACAAAGAAACUCAAAGUGUCACUGAUGAGCAUGCAGCUAAAUAAAUUAAUUUCUUGAUUACUCAUUUCACACACUAAACUGUAAUAAUUUUGACUUUCAUUUUCUUGCAUUUUUUACUUUUCUGGUUAGCAGCCUUCUUGCAUUUUCUCAAUCUCACUCUUUUCAGAAGCGAUGACUGAAGUUUUGCAUGAGUAAGCUGAAAUUUAAAAAACUGACUGCAGAUCAGAGAUGUGUUAAAACAGGAAAACUUCUUGGAUGAGGAGAGGGUAGAGAGUAGCAGGUAUUUUAUCGGCUGCAAGGAGUGGGGGCGUGUGACGUAAAUGGUUUCCUAAAUGUUCAGACACUGAGGAAAACUGAGUGCAAAGAAGCUACUGAGGCUCUCUGCUGUUAUGUGGCCUGAAGAGAACAGUCUUUAUGACUUGCUCUACUUUGGCUAAGUUCCCAUAUUACCAGCAAAACAACUGCCUAGCAACCCAGAUUUUCCCACAACAUUUCCUCACACACAUUGUAUGCCCAGAAAAAAGUACAGCACCUAAUAUUCUCUCUGGAUAAUCCCCUUAUUGGAGAGCUAUAUUUAUUUCUUUGUACACAUUUGAGCUUUAGCUAACAGGGCAAUUGCUGUCGUGACAGACGCUGCAGGCAAAGUCAAACCAGUCCUAUCUGUGCCGCAAGCUGUGCAGUAACUGUGCACCCGAAGCAGGUUAUCUGUGCAUCAGACAGACAGCAAGCUUGCUGCUUCCCUCCGCCAUGUUUCCCCUAACAAAGGCAGGAAGCCAUGACCGUUAGCAAAAAAAAAGUACAAAUAUCCUUUCUAUUGAAAAACCUGUUUUGUGAACAGAAAGGGAGGUCUCCAGCUUGCACUCCGCAAUGCUGGGGAAGUCCAUCUGAAGACAUAAAUAGUUCAGUAAUUUAAAGUACAUGCUGGUUUGAACAUAUGAAAUACAUAUUUUUUUCAUUUACUGCCUUUAAGGAACACUUACAGUCAUACAGUAGAUUUACUAAUGGCUAUAUUUUCUUAUGUGACACCUCAGCAGCAGCAGCAGCAUCUUGCAACUGAAUAUUUAAGCUGCUUUCCUCACAGUUUCAGCACGAGUUGCCUUGAUCUUUCUACAGCUGAUCUGGAGCAACACACUGAUAGGACUGCUGAAAACCCCUAUCUGCCCAUAUGUUACAUCAAAGCACAAGCCUUCUUGUCCCUCCAAAAGACAUCACAGUCUGAGAAACACUGUAGGUAAACUGCAACUGCCAUAAAUAAGACAGCACUCUUAAUCAUACAUACAGAAAUUAAGGCAGCA